rnacentral:lncRNA from 1 species
CGGGCUGGGUUCGGCGGAACCCUAGCCCGCCGCUAAAAGAGGAAGAAGACGGGUCGAGCCGACCCGUCUCCUCUUCCCAUUUAAAAAAAAAAGAUUAAUUUUUGUUCUAACGGGUUUCGGGCAUGGGUUUCGACCCGAACCCGGAAUAGGCAAUCCGUCUGCAAAUUUAAAAGGGGCAUAACAGGCAUAACGGGUUCGGGUUUUUGGGUUUCGAUCCGAAACCCGAAUUCGUUUGGCAAAUAAAAGAGGAAUUUUCAGUUAAGCCCCUAUGGAACAUUUUAUUUAUGCAUACAACCCUUCCGGGAUGUUAAAAAGAAUGAAAAUGUUUCUGUUAAGU